rnacentral:lncRNA from 1 species
AGCUUAUCUGGGGUGGACCCUGUAUUUGCCUCUUCCAUUAUCGAGCUUUUAUCAAUUUUUGAGCUUUCGUCUCCUCUUGAGCCUCCGUAGACUUUGAGCUUUCCUCAUUCGAGAUGGUAUACUCAAGAAUAAAGUUCGCCGGCACUUGGACCUUGAUAGCAGGCCUUGGACGGUACUGCACGUCCAGCUCAACAAUCUCCAACACCCACUUUGCAAUCCAUCCUA